ensembl:miRNA
CCAGAAGUGGUCUGCAAAGAGAUGACUGUGGAUCCCGGAUCCACGUCAGCUCUGUGCUGCCUACAUCUGA